CUCAUGUAACACGAGCAUCGAUCUUCUCACAAAGACCAAGGUGGCUAAAGCCAAAACAACUUUGAAAACCUAUGAUGUCUUUACUAAAAGCUCACACUUAUCUAACGAGAGAGCACUUCAUGAUCUAAUCGAAUAUCACACUGUUAUUGGCAGCAAACGUGACUAUUGUCAGUUAGCUUUUGCUAACCCACAAGAUAGACUUUAUUGCGGUGAAGCUACAAUAAAAAGAGAAAUGAGUGCUAUUAUACAUGAUUGGCAUCUCAUAUCGUGGGUUCUCCGUUGAUUCUGGCGACGAAGAGGACCCUGUGGCUCAUGGUGCUUCAUCCGUAAACCGCUGCAUCAGCUAGGCAAAGAUCUCAUAUCAAAAUCAAGGGAGAAGUUUCUACGAGACACUGUCGGUGAGAGCUCCAUCGUCGGUGUAGCGACGCAGAACAGA